GACGAACCUUGCUAACGUUAUUCGGAAUUACUGGGCUUAAAGGGUGCGUAGGCGGUGCGGAAAGUCGGGUGUGAAAUCCCCCAGCUCAACUGGGGAAUUGCGCCUGAAACUACCGUGCUCGAGGAAGACAGAGGUACGCGGAACUUAGGGUGGAGCGGUGAAAUGCGUUGAUAUCUUAAGGAACACCGGUGGCGAAAGCGGCGUACUGGGUCUUAUCUGACGCUGAGGCACGAAAGCUAGGGUAGCGAACGGG
rnacentral:rRNA from 1 species